CAUUCGUUCAGUUCACAGAAACCUGCC
rnacentral:piRNA from 1 species